UUAUGUAAAUAAUUUUCUCUCAACAAUUAAAAUUAGUCUGUUAUCAUACAGGUAUAGAUGUAGAACCACCAAAAAAGCAGCUACAUAUAACAUUGGCAUACCAGUAUUCUGGGGAGCAGCAUGAUAAAUUAACUAGUUUAGCUAAACAGAUUGAUCUCAGGGCUGAAUGUGUGUGGGAACUCAGGGCAUACUCUAGGGAUCCUAGAAUUGGGAAAAGUGAGGUAAGGAAAGUGAAGCAGGCUUACAAAGGUUCACUUGAGGAUGAGCUAGACUUGAUAAUGGGAGACUACGUGUUCAUGGAUAUGAAUGAGAGCACUAGAAGUACGGAUAAAUGGUAUAACGGAACAUCCUGGCUUACUGGACAACAAGGAAUGUUCCCUGGACCAUUCACAGAGAGAACGGCUGAAACUUGGACAUGGGCACUGCAUGAAUCACAUUUAAUGGGAACAAAUGAAGAGGAAGAGCUGCAGCAGCCCCACUGACUAACGGGGUGCGGCCACCACCAUGUACAGGUGGUCAGGAGGAAUAUGAGGCCCUCUGGAAAAAUCCCGAUGACCUCUAUGCAAAGGU